CUGGAACCUCUCGGGGUUACAGCCUUGCUGAAUUAUUCACCCUUGUCUUUUGCGUACUUCUUGUUUCCUUGGUGGGUUCGCCCACCACUAGGACAAACAUAAACCUUUUGUAAUUGCAAUCAGCGUCAGUAACAAAUUAAUAAUUACAACUUUCAACAACGGAUCUCUUGGUUCUGGCAUCGAUGAAGAACGCAGCGAAAUGCGAUAAGUAGUGUGAAUUGCAGAAUUCAGUGAAUCAUCGAAUCUUUGAACGCACAUUGCGCCCUUUGGUAUUCCAAAGGGCAUGCCUGUUCGAGCGUCAUUUGUACCCUCAAGCUUUGCUUGGUGUUGGGCGUCUUGUCUCUAGCUUUGCUGGAGACUCGCCUUAAAGUAAUUGGCAGCCGGCCUACUGGUUUCGGAGCGCAGCACAAGUCGCACUCUCUAUCAGCAAAGGUCUAGCAUCCAUUAAGCCUUUUUUUCAACUUUUGACCUC
rnacentral:sRNA from 1 species